AUUUCACCUUUAAAACAUUAAAUACUUCUUACACUACUACUAGGGGGUAGGCCUUUUGUCACUUUAUGCUUGGAUUAUUGUAAUGGCUUGCUAAUGGAUCUUCCUGCAAGUCUCUUCCAUGUCAUACACCUUACUCAUUAAAAGCCAGUAGCUUCCUAUUGCUUCCAAGAUCCAUGUAAAAUACCCUUUGGCCUUUUAAGGUCCUUCAUAACGUAGAUUCCUCUCUUAUUUUUCCGUGCUCAUCUUAAUUCUAGGUAUAGUGUUUUAGAUCUAGUGACUGGCCUAGCUGGUCUAUAAACAAGAUAACUCCAUAUGAAGUUUUCACCUCCAGUGCCCAAAAUCUCAAAUGUUCCCUGACUUUGCCCGAGCUAAAAUUCUAUCAUACUGUAAGCCUUCUUUUAACACCUCUUAAAUCCAUUGCCUUUCCUCUGCUAAUUAUAUCCUAUUUAUCCUGUAUGUAGUUUGAUGUAUUUGUUUGCAUGUUGAUUUCCCCAUUAGAUUGGAAUCUCCUUGAGGACGGAAUGUUUUCCCCUUUUUUUAUCCCCAGCAUUUCAUACAGCUCUUGCUACAUAGUAGGUGGUUAUGGUUUAUUGAUUUAUAUAAAAGGAAAUGUGCUUAGUUUAGCAUGACUGUUCAAAAUGAACCUAUGUUGGCUUAUAAUGACCAUUACCUUUUUUUUAAUGUUUAUACACCAAUCUCUCCAGAUGACAGAAUCUCAACAAAAGGGAUCUCAAAAGACUUCCAGACUAGGAAUCUCUUCCACAAUAACCCUUACAAGUAAUCAACAUCUGCUUGAUUUAAGACCUCAUGAAAGAUAACAUUACUCCAAAAUAGUCCAUUCUCUUGGCAUUAGCAAUAUUAGUUUAAUAUGCUGUCAACUCUGUAUUUCAGGAAAGACUUGCCAACUACCUACUAGUAACUCAAAAGUGGUCAUGUCUGGAAUACAUUGUGGCUUGACUUUGGAUGAUUAGGCUUAAGUUAAAACUCCCAUUUUCUGACUUGAUUGGAUGGGAAUAUGUGACCUAGAAGCUUACAAUCAUCCCAGAAUGAAAAUUUCAUCAAUAAUACUUUUAUUAUGGGUGAAGACCUCAUUUUCGGUAGAUGAAUAACAAGAUUGAAUGAAAAAGAGUAUUUGGGCAUCAAUAUAGAGGAUAGAGGGGAGGUAAUUGGUGAAAAGGCUAAAUAAGAGACAAGAGUGACCGUACUGGGAAUGUAAAAUAGGCUUCAGAUGGCAGAAAGAUUACAGAGAUAGGACUUGACAGUUUUUUGGAGACAUAAGUUAGAGAAGAAAACAAUUGAACAUAAUUCAUACUUUUUGAGCCUGGGUGUCUGGGAAGAGACUAACAAAGAAAUUAGAGGAACUAAUUUAGGGAGGCAAAUCAUAAGAUUAUGCUUAGAAUUUAGAGUUAAAAGAGACCAUAGAUAACUUCUAGUCAUCUCCAUUCCCAUCCCCCAUCAUUUUACAAAUGAGAAAACAGGUCCAGAGAUAAGUUGGACACAACGGAAAAAAUGAACAGCAAAAUAUGCUAAUGGUAGCUUUAUCAUAAAGGGAUUUGAUGCUUUCAUCUCUUAAAUUAUAGACUUAGAAUUGGAAAAGGCAAUUAGAAAGGGCUAGCUUUGCUAUUUUGCUAAGUAAAUUUGUUCUGAGCUUUUGGUUCCUCAUCUGCAAAGUAGGAGUGUGAUGCACAAGGCUGGAAUAGAUCAUCUUUAACACUUCUAAUUUCCAAUCAUAUAAGUUGAUAAUGCACUGGUUUGGUUGCUUUAUCUAAUUCAAGAAUCCCCUCUACAGUAUCCCUAUACAGGAUUGAACCUAAAACUAUCUUGGGAAAAUAAUCAAGAGGAAUCCUUUGUCCCAUGGCAUCCCCACCCUUGGAGUGCAAUUUCAAAAAUGUUUCUUAUAAGGGCGGAUAAAUGUAGAGUAGAACAACCACAUCAGUGUCUAGAGGCAUGAUACUCUCUAUAAACCCCAAGAAUCUAAGUGUUGUACAGUAAAUUGGAAUCAUUCCCUUCCUGAAUUUCUCAAAAAAACAAUUGCUCAAUGUAAUGCUCUAUUGGCUGCUUUCCCUCUGCACAAACCAUGAAUAUUUUAAUUGGCUAUACAUUUCAAAUGAUGCUUGGUCCUCCAUGGAAACCAUUUAGGUGUGCUUGUGUUUAUCACAGCCCUUAAUAAAACACUUUUGGGUAGGGAUAUUUAAUAUGUGGUGGUUAUAUUUCUAAUAUUUGGCUGGGUAGUUUGCAACCCAAGUCUCUUUAAAAUUCAGUGAAAAAAAAUCAUAGAAUCUGUUUCAAUAGAAAUAUUUAACAUUUAUAAUGCAUUGUCCUAAUAUUCCUGAGUAGAAAGUAUAGAAAAGGACUCAAAUGAAAUACUUUGCCCUUGAUCACAGUGUUAUAUUGGAACAAGGUCUAGCUUUAGUAGAUACAGUAGUGGAACUGGAGUAAAGACCCAAAUUCAAAUUUGGCCUCAGAUAUUUGCUGUGUGAUAACUGAGCAAAUCACCCAAUCUAUCAAAUGUGAUCCCAUUGAUGUGGCUAUUCCUAUCUAGUAAUACAAAUUGCAGUCCUUCAUACCUGGACAUCUUUUGCAGCAAAAUUCUGAGUUCUUCAAAGAGCAUUAAUCUACCUUUUUUGAUGACAAUAGGGCACAUUCCACUCAGGUUUUUUUUUCUAUUCCAGUUCCUCCAGAAUUGUCUAAUUUUCAUAUAUAACCAUAUGCCUCUCCAUUGUCUUUUGAAUAAUGUACAGCUUUUAAUUUUUUUUUUUUAGAAGUUACAGUUUUCUGUGUGAAUUGAUGCUAAAUUGGAGUAUAAGGAAGAAAAACUCGGCUGAAUUGCCUGUGGGAAAUGACAGAUCUUGUUAAAGGUCCCUUGCUUUUCCUUGAAAUGACCCAUAUUAAAAUCCUAAUCGUAGGGUUUCAUAUCCUCCUCUCCCUACAAAACCAUUUCGUAUACUAAUGGAUAAGUUCCAUAGGUUGUCCAUUUAGCAGAGGCUCCUAAUUAAAGUUAGGAGUUGCUAUCUUUUGAGAAAUUUCAUUGCUUUGGUAAAUGCAUGAGACCUCUUAAAGGAAUCACUUUGUUCUACCAAAUAAAAUUUUGUUUGUUUUUCAGGGGUGGAAUUUCAAGAGCACUGAUUCUGAAACCAGAGGACCCACCUUCAAAUCUUGCCUUUGUUGCUACCUGUGUGACUUUGGGAAAGUCAUAGGCUCCCUGGGCCUCAGUUCACUUAUGGAUAAAAUGAGGGGAUGAAUUAGAUGACCCCAGAAAUUAUAAUUCUAAUUGUGCCUAUGAUUUAAUCUAUUCCCAAGGCUCAUUUGGCCUUAUGGUCAACAAGCAAUAAGCACCAAGGGAUCUUAAGUUUCUGCACCAGUGGCUUGAGUGAUAUGUAGUCGACUGUACAAUAUCAUUUUCAAAAGCCUGCCCAUUCCCUAUUAAUACUUUCAUCAAGAAUAUCUUCAAAUCUUAUAAAUUAUUCUUAUAAAACUUAUACAGAUAAAACAUUAAGCAUAUAAUAUGAUAGCUAUUGAUAUUACCAUUUUCCAGCUAUUAAUGAGAUCUGAAAUAUUUUACAUGCCUUUGAAUUCACAGUAACCUUGUGAAUCGAUCUUUGAAAGUCCUUAUAUAUGAUCAGUCUUCACUAUGGAUGGCCAGUUAACUACUUUUUUUCAUUCUUGUGAUCUCUUAGCUACUUUCUAACCACAUUUGGAACAUGAUGUUAAAGUCUCUAAGAGGAUGCCUCUUCUUUCCUGAAAAGGUUUGUCUUCUCAUGUUUCUCUGAAGGCAGCUGAGUGGUCCUAUGAAUACAGCAAUAGACGUGGAAGCCCAACUAAAACUGACCUCAAUCACUAGUUGUGACCCUGGACAUGCCAAUUUAACUGCUACCUGCUUCAAUUUCCUCGUAUGUAAAUUAAGUAUAAGUGUAUUUACCUGCCAGGAUUAAAAGGAGUUAAUAUUUGUAAAGUGUUUUGCAAAUCUUAAAGCAUUAUAAUCUUUACAUUACAAUAAUAUACUGUUCACAUGACAUUUUGGUUAGCCAGUCCCCAAUAAAUGAAUAUUUUUCCAAUUAUUUGCCAUUGCUCCUACAAAUAUGUCCAAUGGAAGACCUUUCAGUCUUUGAUCUCGUUACCUUAAGUUUUUUAUAAACUAUAAAUCCUCCAAUGCUUUCUCUAGGUUUUAUAAGUCAAUGCUACUUAUUUUUUUUUAAGUUAUUUUAUUUUGCUUCAAUUACAUAUUAAAGCAAUUUUUAAACUGAGUUCCCAAUUCUAUCUCUCUCUUUCCCUCCACUCCCUUUCUCUGAUGAACAUUUUGACAUAGAUAAUACAUGUGUGAUCAUGUAAAACAUUUCCAUAUUAAUUAUUUUAUACAAGUAGACUUGAACAAAUGAAAAAGUAUGUUUCAGUCGACACAGACAACAAUUCAUUCUCUGGAGGUGAAUAGCAUGUUUCAUCAUGAGUCCUUUGGGAUUGUCUUGAAUCGUAUUGCAGAGAAAAGAAAAUUCACAGUUCAUAUACAAUGUCAAUGCAACUUAUGAUUGUUUUAUCAGAGGAUCCCUACAUGAAAUCUUUCUAACAGGGUUAUAGAUAUUGGGAUUUCCAGAGAUUACCUCUCAUAGUAAAAAGAGCUGGGGGCUGGAGCUAAGGAGACUAGGGCUCAUAAGGAUUUCAGAUUUAGAACUAAUAAUGUUCUAAUUAUUAAGCUUCUAAUGGAGGCUUAAGGAUGAAUUUAUUCAAUCCUUUCAAUUUACUAAUGAGGAAACUGAGGCUCAGGGAGCUUAAGUAAUUUGAUGAAGGCCUAUAGUCAAAGAAGAAACUAGACUCAAACUGCGAUCCUUUGAGUCUAAAUCUAGUGGUUUUCCUACCACAGUAUUGUUUCACUCAGUGUAGUCUUAAUUCUGCCACUAAUUACUAAACUUUACCUUGAGCAAAUCUGUUGGAAUCUUUACAAACUGCUAACUCAUUAGAGUUGAUAGCUAUCAAAUUAGAUCCUUGUUUAAACUUUAUCAAGUAGGUAGGCUGGUAAGUAUUGUUCUCCACAUCUUUGGGUGAAGUGGUUUGUGUGUGAUUUUCUUCUUUUAAAAUAUAAUAAUGGUUUUCUCUGGGGAAGAGAGCAGGUUUCUCAGGAAGGUUUUCUGGAGGCAGCCUUAGUUGCAGUUGAAAAUAAUAAUCACCUCAAAACGCAGCCAGGUGACAAAAGUUCAGAUCUUUUUAUUGUCUCCAAUAUAGCCCAGUUAGCUUAGAGGCCUAUCUCUUUGCUUGGUUCUAAGAGCUCUUGCAGCUUUGUCCUUUGCUUCUGCCUCUGCUUUCUUCAGCCUCCAAAGUCAGCACAAAGUUGAAUCUGUCCUGCCUCUGAGAAAGGGCUUCUGGCUCUCAAUCUCCCAGAGUGCUCCUCUCCGAACCCAGUCAUUGUUCCAAAGUAAAACUCCUCACUCAGAGAGGGCUUCUGGCUGAACUCACUUGACGCUCCUUUCUCUUUUUUUUUUUUUUUUUAAUUUUUUUAUUUAAUAAUUACUUUAUAUUGACACUCGUUUCUGUUCCGAUUUUUUUCCCCUCCCUCCCUCCCUCCACCCCCUCCCCUAGAUGGCAAGCAGUCCUUUAUAUGUUGGAUAUGUUGCAGUAUAUCCUAGAUACAAUAUAUGUUUGCAGAACCAAACAGUUCUCUUGUUGCAUAGGGAGAAUUGGAUUCAGAAGGUAUAAAUAACCCGGGAAGAGAAACAAAAAUGCAGAUAGUUCACAUUUGUUUCCCAGUGUUCUUUCUUUGGGUGUAGCUGCUUUUGUCUUGACGCUCCUUUCUCAAUCUAAAUUCAGCUCCACUCUCCAUGUAAUUCAGCUGAAUUGUCUUCGAGAGCCUCUGUCUGUUUUUUAUAUAUGAGAGAGAGGAAUUGUGGGAUACAAGAGAGAGGGAUUAUAGGUUUCUUCCCAGAGUGCUCUUUGGCCCUAAGAGCUUCAAGGGAGGUGUGAAUUCACAAAGUUACACAGUUAACUUUGUGAAUCUCCCAUACUUGUGAAUUCCAAUGAGUAAAAGUGUAAAUACAAGCAUUGUAUCAAUUAGUUCUACUUAGUACCUUAUUUCAGGUUCUGCCCCAAAACAUCUUCUUGUAAGAUUAGCUCAAUAAGCUAUCAACUCUAAUAGAGUUAGCAGUUUGUAAAGAUUCCAACAGAUUUGCUCAAGGUAAAGUUUAGUAAUUAGUGGCAGAAUUAAGACUAGACUGAGUGAAACAAUACUGUGGUAGGAAAACCACUAGAUUUAGACUCAAAGGAUCGCAGUUUGAGUCUAGUUUCUUUGACUAUAGGCCUUCAUCAAAUUACUUAAGCUCCCUGAAGCCUCAGUUUCCUCAUUAGUAAAUUGAAAGGAUUGAACAAAUUCAUCCUUAAGCCUCCAUUAGAAGCUUAAUAAUUAGAACAUUAUUACUUCUAAAUCUGAAAUCCUUAUGAGCCCUAGUCUCCUUAGCUCCAGCCCCCGGCUCUUUUUACUAUGAGAGGUAAUCUCUGGAAAUCCCAAUAUCUAUAUUUCAUGGUAAUAUCCAGUCUGGAAAAUAAGGUGUCUAUAUCUCCCAAAUCAAAACUAACAAUAACUCAAUCUUAUAUAGGACUUGAAAGGUUUAUAAAGCAGUUUCCUUACCACAAAUCUGUGAAGGAAGCAUUAUGGAAGAUGUCUUUGUCAGAUGUGGAAACCAAUGCAGUUAACUUUGCUCAAAAUUUAACUAUAAAAAUGUCAGAGCUAAGAUAUAAAUCCAGAUCUCCAAGUCCAGGAUUCUUUUCAUCUCACUAUGCUGCCCUUCAAAUUUGGUGCAUGUAGUGUUGUGCCUUUUUUACUGAGGGGAUGAGGGUAGAAAGGGCUUAAUUGUGGGUUCCAUCUUAUGAUUCAAUUUUGGAACUAGAUUAGUUUCUAUUCAAUUCUGGGUCUAGUUGAAUCUCUACCUUUUGAGGAAAUUUUAUUGUGAGAAUCAGAAGAAAGCCUUAUUGUACUGUUUGAACUUAAUUAAUCUUGUGUGGUUGGGAAAUUAGACUACCUCUCCCUAUUGCUUAGGGACUCCCAACUAAAGACAUAGGUUAUGCUGGGCAGCUAGGUGGUGAGAUAGAGUACUGAAUCUGGAGUCACCUCUUCCUGAGUUCAAAUCUGGCUUUAGACGCUUAUUAGCUAUGUGAUCCUGGGGAAGUCAUUUAACUGUUUGCUUCAGAUUUCUCAUUUGUGAAAUGAUCUGGAGAAGAAAAUAGCAAACCAUUCCAGUAUUUUUGCCAAAAAAAAAAUAAAAAAUCCAAAUGGGGUCAUGAAGAGUCAGACAUAACUAAAAAAUGACUCAACAUAUGAACAGAUUAAACUGAUCAGAAACUCUGACUGAUACAAAGUUUUCUCCCAAUUGCAUUUUUCAAACAAUCCAUAUUAUUAGAAAUGAUUAGAAAACAUUGAUCAAUCAGUUAUAAUUUCCAUGUACCUCUGUUUAUAACGCUUAACAGGGAGUGGGACAUCUUUUUUGAUUCCAGGAAACUCCUUGUUCAUUCUCCCUAUCCCUAAUCUUCUAAUUGGAAAUCAUAUUACCUAAAGUUCAGUUGUUUUCUUUUAAUUAAUUGGUCUCAUUUGUUUUUAAUGUAUAAGGGCUUAUCUUCCUUGGUAUUUAGGGUCUAGGCUUCAGGUGAGGAGGUUUGGUGCUGUUUUGUUAAGCAUUUGGCAUGUAUUGGCAUGCAUUGCUUAAUAAACUGACAUGCUUGGAAGAUUGAACCUUUAUUUUCUUCAGUCAUUCAUUUUCACCUACCAUACUACUUAGAGCUCAGUAAGUUUUUAUUUAAUUGAAUUGAAUCAGUAAAAUGGAAAUGAUAAUAAUGCCUCAGAUUUCACCCUGCUGGUUCCUUAGAUAUGGGCACUGUGAUUUUGUUGGAGCUUCAGAUUACUCAGGAAUUUUUAUUUGCUGUACCAUUAAAAGAGCUAUGCAUAUAAACUCCUAACAAUACUGACUUUAGCUUUUUAAAAAACAAAAUGUUUUGUAGUAAUAAAGCCUCUUCCCUUUAUGUAGCUGAAAGCCCUUUGUAAACAUAAUAUUAUGUCAUGAGUAUAGCUGCUACCAAAAAAAAAAUUAUGGGCUUCCUAAGCAUCCAAAUGAGUAAAGCUAAAACUACUCACACCUAUCAUGUCCUGACAAAUAGCUGCUCACCCUUUCCCCACUUAAUAUCUAUCUGAUUCAAUUGUAAAAUGAAGAUAGAAAUAGCACUUAUCUCCAAGGGUUGUUUUGAGGAUCAAAUGGAACAAUAUUUAUAAAGUGUUUAGCAUAGAGGCUGUUGUUGUUGAUGUUGAGUCAUGUAUGACUCUUCAUGACCCCCAUGGAUUAUAGUAUGCAGCUUUUCUAUCCUUCACUAUCUCCUGAAGUUUAUUCGAGUUCAUAUUCAUUGUUUCUAUGAUACAAUCUAUCCAUCUUGUCUUCUUCCAUCCCCUUUUCCUUUUGCUUUGAUCUUUCUCAACAUCAAGAUCUUUUCCAAAGAAUCCCAUCCUCUCAUAAUUUGGCCCAGAUAUUUAAGCUUCAUCUUUAGUAUUUGACCUUCCAGUGAAUAGCUGGAAUUAAUUUAUUAAAGUUUUAACUGAUUUCACCUUCUUACUGUCCAAAGAAUUCUCAGAAGUCUUGUCCAGCACUACAACUGGAAAUAUUGAUUCUGUGAUCCUCAGCUUUCCUUAUAAUGCAUCUUUUUCAGUCAUACAUUGCUACUGAAAAACCAUAAUGACCCUGUCAUUAAGAGGAUGUUGUAAUGUCCAGACUAGCUCUCUGGAGGACCUAGGGAUUAACUUGAGUUCUUGGUCUUAAUGGAGGAGUGGAGGAGACAGGACAACUGCCACAUGGCUGGUCAAAGAUAGCGUCUGAAAUCUGGCAUCUUCUCUUUCAUCUGUGGCUGAGAGAGAUUCUGUCUCUUGAGAUUCCCUUAAAUACCUCAGUAUGAUUACAUCACUACAGGAUGUGCCUGUGCAACCAUUACAUUACCAUACUAAGUAUGUACUUAACUAUAAGUACUUUGCUGACCUAGAUUUAACUACACCUUUUCAGAGUUCUAACCCUCUACAGGAUGUCUCUGCUGUUUAGUAUACUAUUCAGAUUUCCUUCCAAGGAGCAAAUAUCUCUUAAUUUCACACUUGCAAUCACUGUUUACAAUGAUCUUUGAACCUAAGAACAUAAAAUCUGACAUUGCUUCCAUUUCUCCCCCCUCUGUAUUUCCUAGGAAGCGAUGGACCACUUGCCAAGAUCUUAAUUUUUUGAUAUUAACCUUCAAGUGAGCAUUUACAUUUUCCUUUUUCACCAUUAUCUAAAAGCUCCUCAAUUCCUUUUUAUUUUUUGUCAUUGGAGUGUUAUCUGUGUAUCUAAGAUUGUUGAUAGUUCUCCUAACAAUUUAAUUCUGGCUUUUGAUUCUUCUAGCAUGGCAUUUCAUAUGAUAUAUUUUGCAUAGGAGUUAAAUAAAUAAGGUGACAAUAUA